UAGCCACUACUUUUCAUCUUGCUACUUUCGAUUUAUCUAUUGCAAAUUCAUAAUUAAUAAUGGAGCUGCUAAGAUCGCUGCUGCUGCCAUGAAUUGGGGAUAAAGGGGAUUAUUGAGUUAAAUUCUGCGAUUGGGACAUCGAGAUGCAGGUCGAGAGGCACCUCAUUGAGC